UUUUUUUUUUUUUUUUUGAAGAGACGGGGUCUCACUCUGUUGCCUAGACUGGUCCCGAACUCCUGGGCUCAAGCAGUCCUCCCACCUUGGCCUCUGAAAGUGCUGUGAUUACAGGCAUGAGCCACUGCAGCCAGCAUUUCCUUUUUUUUUUUGACUGGGUCUUCCUCUGCCACCCAGGCUGUAGUGCAGUGUUGUGAAUACAGCUCACUGCAGCCUCAACUCUCCAACUUAAGCUAUCCUCCUCCCUCAGCCUUCUGAGUAACUGGGACUAUGGGCAUGUGUCACCACGUUGGUUAAUUCCUGUAUUUAUCAUAGAGAUGGGGUCUCCUAUGUUGCCCAGGCUGGUCUCAAACUCCCAGACUCAAGCCAUCCAGCCACCCCAGUCUCUCAAAGUGUUGGGAUUACAAGUGUGAACCACCAUGCUUGGUCUCAUUCUCUUCAUAUAAUUUAUCGCUCAAUGGGACUGUCUUUGUUGUUGGCAUGUAUGUUUCCUUGUGUUGGAGCAUGUCUUCCCAGGGCAUAUUCUUAGUUUCUCCCCAUGAACAUCGAACUCAGUUGUUCUCAAAGUGUGGUCCUUGGUCUCAGCCUCCGCAUCAUCAGAUAACCUGUUAAAAAUGCAAACUCUCCUAGCCUGGGCAACAGGGUGAAAACCCGCCUCUACUAAAAAUACAAAAAAUAGGCUGGUGUGGUGGUGUGUGCGUGUAACUCGGGAGGCUGGGGCAGGAGAAUCGCUUGAACUGGAGAGGCAGAGGUUGCAGGGAGCGGAGACGGCACCACUGCACACCAGCUUGGGCAACAGAGUGAGACUCUGUCUCAAAAACAAACAAACAAACAAAACCAAAAAACAAAACUUAGCCGGGCGUGGUGGCACAUGCCUGUAGUCCCGGCUACUCGGGAGGCUGAGGCACAAAAAUCUCUUGAACCCAGGAGGCAGAGGCUGCAGUGAGCUGAGAUCGUGACACUGUACUCCAGCCUGGGUGACAGAGCGAGACUUUCUCAAAGAAAAAAAAAAGAAAAGAAAAAAGAAAAAAAUGCAAAUUCUCAGGCUCCACUACAGACUUACAAAAUCAGAAACUCUGGGGGUGGAGCCCAGCAAUCUGUGUUUUAACAAACCCUCCAGGGGGUUUAGGGUUUGAGAAUCACUGAUCUGGCACAAGGUAUGGUGCUCCACAAUCCUCAGCUGAAUUAAAGAACCCUGUGCGAAGCACACACUCAGUACAAAUAAGCUGCUGCUGCUUCUUCCUUUUUUUUUCUUGAGAGGGAGUCUAACACUGUCGCCUGGGCUGGAGUGCGGUGGUGUGAUCUCAGCUCGCUGCAACGUCCGCCUCCCGGCUUCAAGCGAUUCUCCUGCCUCAGCUGCCCAAGUAGCUGGGA
rnacentral:lncRNA from 1 species